rnacentral:rRNA from 1 species
CCUACGGGUGGCAGCAGUGGGGAAUAUUGCACAAUGGGGGAAACCCUGAUGCAGCAACGCCGCGUGAAGGAAGGCGGUUUUCGGAUUGUAAACUUCUGUUCUUAGGGAAGAAUAAUGACGAUAUCUAAGGAGCAAGCCACGGCUAACUACGUACCAGCAGCCGCGGUAAUACGUAGGUGGAAAGCGUUGUCCGGGAUGACUGGGUGUAAGGGGAGCGCAGGUGGGAAGGCAAGGGAGGUGUGAAAACUACGGGUUUAACUUGUAGACUGCAGUUGAAACUGGUUUUCUUGAGUGCAGUAGAGGUUGGCGGAAUGCCGAGUGUAGCGGUGAAAUGCGUAGAUAUCCGGAGGAACACCGGUGGCGAAGGCGGCCAACUGGGCUUUAACUGACGCUGAGGCUCGAAGGUGUGGGGAGCAAACAGGAUUAGAUACCCUAGUAGUC